UAAGGGUUUUUUUUUCUCCUUCGUGGUUUUGGCUUCGCCGCCGCCAACAGGAGCCAAGGUGGUCAUCUUCUUCUUUCUCUCACGCUCCUCGUCGGCUGCUGGCUAUUCCCCUCCUCUUCUUCCUUCGGUUGCCGCCACAAAGACCUUGUGGAAGAGGCCAUCUUCGCUGCCUCCAACCCGAUGUUGGCGACGACCACCUCUGACUGCCUCCUCCCCUUCCCACUCUAACAAUGCCGGUCUCUACCUCCUUCUCUCUUCCCGCGGCUAGCACGACUGCCAAUCAUCUAUCCUCACCUUAGCCGCCUCACCGUUGACCCGCUAGUGUCUGUGUCGCCCCCAUGGCCGGACCUACACACUCGCUGCCGGCUUCGUCGAGACCCUCCUCCCUAGCUGUCCCCUAGCAUGGAUCCGAUUACUACGACCGUUGUCGCCGAUCUGACCAUAUCGCGCUUCCGUCGUGUGCUGGCCUUUGAGCCAUCACUGUGUUCUGGCCUUCGAGCAGAGUUUAUGUUUCGACCUCCGCACUGACCUAGGUUGUGUGUCGUGUUUUGAUCCUCGUGCAACUAUUACUAUCCGACCUGUGUGUCGUUAUUGUAUUUUGGUCUGCGUGCCAUUAUCACAGCCCGACCUGUGUGCCACUAUCAUAUCCCUACCUGCGUGCCAAUGUCAUAACCCGGCCUACGUAUCGAGGUCGCAUUCGGUUUCGUGCCACCGCAUCCGGCUUCACGUUAUCAGAUCCAGCUCUUCGUCUGGCUCUGAGUCACCUGCUAUUCCGGGUCGCAAUAACUUGAGCAGUGUCCCAUCCGAGGGUGCCGCCUGGGCCAGGGAUACCAGAGACCGGGGCGACUCAAUCGCUAACUGCAGGUAGCAUUGACCAGAGGACUUUUGAAGACUUGGUCAACACAGAAGCCAUCUUAGCACACCACCCCCUUCGGGACAUCGCGAUUCGGUCAACAUUCCAUCCAACUCACCUGGCGGUCCAUCUGACUCAGAUUCCGGACAGGAUCAGAACCCAUUCAAGUAAAUACAAUACGAACUUAGGAGCACAAGAAGUCUAGCAAAAGACGCAGUUAGCGAGAAGGAUGACACGG